rnacentral:rRNA from 1 species
UACAGAGGUCUCAAGCGUUGUUCGGAUUCAUUGGGCGUAAAGGGUGCGUAGGCGGCGCGGUAAGUCGGGUGUGAAAUCUCGGGAGCUUAACUCCGAAACUGCAUUCGAUACUGCCGUGCUUGAGGACUGGAGAGGAGACUGGAAUUUACGGUGUAGCGGUGAAAUGCGUAGAUAUCGUAAGGAAGACCAGUGGCGAAGGCGGGUCUCUGGACAGUUCCUGACGUGAGCACGAAGGCCAGGGGAGCAAACGGGG